rnacentral:rRNA from 1 species
AUUGAACGCUGGCGGCAGGCCUAACACAUGCAAGUCGAGCGGAUGAAGGGAGCUUGCUCCUGGAUUCAGCGGCGGACGGGUGUGUAAUGCCUAGGAAUCUGCCUGGUAGGGGGGGAUAACGUCCGGAAACGGGCGCUAAUACCCCAUACGUCCUGAGUGAGCAAGUGGGUGAUAUUCGGACCUCACGCUAUCAGAUGAGCCUAGGUCGGAUUAGCUAGUUGGUGGGGUAAAGGCCUACCAACGCGACGAUCCGUAACUGGUCUGAGAGGAUGAUCAGUCACACUGGAACUGAGACACGGUCCAGACUCCUACGGGAGGCAGCAGUGGGGAAUAUUGGACAAUGGGCGAAAGCCUGAUCCAGCCAUGCCGCGUGUGUGAAGAAGGGCUUCGGAUUGUAAAGCACUUUAAGUUGGGAGGAAGGGCAGUAAGUUAAUACCUUGCUGUUUUGACGGUACCAACAGAAUAAGCACCGGCUAACUUCGUG